rnacentral:rRNA from 1 species
ACUCCUACGGGAGGCAGCAGUGGGGAAUAUUGCACAAUGGGGGAAACCCGUGAUGCAGCCAUGCCGCGUGUGUGAAGAAGGCCUUCGGUUGUAAAGCACUUUCAGUAGGGAGGAAGGUAGUGUAGUUAACACCUGCACUAUUUGACGUUACCUACAGAAGAAGCACCGGCUAACUCCGUGCCAGCAGCCGCGGUAAUACGGAGGGUGCGAGCGUUAAUCGGAAUUACUGGGCGUAAAGCGCAUGCAGGCGGCCUGUUAAGUCAGAUGUGAAAGCCCGGGGUCUUAACCUCGGAAUUGCAUUUGAAACUGGCGAGGCUAGAGUCUUGUAGAGGGGUUAGAAUUUCAGGUGUAGCGGUGAAAUGCGUAGAGAUCUGAAGGAAUACCAGU